AGAGAUGCCUUCCGACGGAUUUGGAAGUCGGUUGUAUUAGGUGGAUGAAAUCCCGAGUGUUUAUGUCAGCGAUUACCGAUCGAGUGUGCAGUGUGGUGGGACAAGUGUAGGAAGCACACCCAGACCUUGGAAAAACUAAUACUGCCGUAAUGUAUGGGAUGAGAGAUCUGGAUGCAAAACCAAUAUUGUUCUGCCAUAGGCCAUUCAGUUCGUGUGUAUCAAUUGGCGAGGUGAGUGACGUUGAAGUUUGUCCUUGUGUCAUUUAUAUUUUUGAAUCAGUUGAUGAUUGCCUUACAAUUAUUAAAUAAUUAAUUAAAAAGGGGAUUAGUGCUGCUAAAUAAAUUCACAAAUAGUUGUUUGGUGCCCGAAAAUGGUGAAUAAGUUGAUGAUUUGGUUUGUUUCAUGUUGCAUCAGAAGUUGCUGGCUUUUUGGUUAUGUUUUAUUAUGCCAGUUAGAGAUCAAAGAAUUAUUGUAAUGUAAUUUGAAAACUUGAAUAUUGUUGGACCUACCAGCUGGGGAUGGAAUAGAAGUAAAAUGGAGGUAGAGAGAAGAUUUUAGCGUUUGUUUGAAUGAAGGUCGUUACGGAGUUGUAUACUUAUCGGAGUUAAAGCAAGAUUAUUUCGUUGUUUUUGAGAAUAACGGGGAAUUUAAAUUCAAAUUCCUGGUGAUUCAUUUGAGUGACUCCGAUAUUGAUUAUUCAAGUUUGAUAAGUUUCCAUGAAGAUGACCGCUGUAUGGGAAAUAGUUUUCCAAUUCAUAUGAUGGUGAUCACUAUGGAAACCUCUGAAACUUGAGUAAUCAAUUUCGGAGGCAGCCAAACGAAUCGCCGCGGAUUUAAAUUUGGAUUCUCCUUUGUACUUAAAUGCCACGAGAAACUCUUGCUUUAGUUCCGAUCACUCUACAACUCUGUCUCAGCGUUCUUUCAGUCAAACACAAUCAUUUUUUUUCUUGCUCCAUUUUACUUCUAUUUUAUCCCGGUUGGUAGCUCUAACAAUAUUUGUUUCCGCAGGCUACUCGAAAAUUUCUGUUUUAAUAAAUUCGAUGGUACCUCGUGAUGUUGCCAACAUGGUCUAUAAUGAUUGUUGUUAGCACGAAAAUCCAAUAGGGAUGCAGGAAAUUGAAACUGAUAUGAUUUAUAAUCUCUUUUGCCGUCGAAAAUUUACGCAAUAGAAAUAAUAUAUACAGUGAAAUUUUUUUUGAUGUGCAUGUAUUUCUCGCUGACUUCCCGAGGACGAGGCCCACAACGGGGGAUUAGAAAAUGUUGCGUGCGCGCAUUGGAAAAUACGGGGAAGAAUGCAAAGUUUAUGCCGACAUGUACCGUCGUCUUUGGCUAUAAAUCCUGUUUUCGUCAGGAGGGAGGGCAACAGCGAAGCAAUUUCAAGUGACCAAAUUUCAGAAACGGGAUUUACAUUCUGCGCAACAUGAAAAGGUGAUUUUGUUGGAGAGUUUUAGUGACAAGCAUAGGUUCGGUUGCUUCUGUUCUUUUACAUUGUUUGAAGGUUCAAGUCUGGUUCUUUCUGUUUUGCUAUGUAAAACAAACCACGGGUUUUGUGUUUUGUUUAGUGGAAGGCAAAGACACGGUUUGCUGUGUUGGCUGGAACCCAUGUUUGUCUUCUAUGCUUAUCCGGUUCAGGGGGUUGGUGAAAGAUCUUCUCCAAUUCAUUACAGAAUGGUGAAACCAUAAAAGAAAUGUCUGUUUCCUAUUCAUGUUACAACCGGGUUGUACGGAAUUUAUUUGUAUUUAGACUUCGCUUCAAUGAAGAAACACAGUCUCAAUCGGAUCCAUGACUGUCAAUAAUCUAACCAUCAUGGAGGUGUUUUAACUUGGAAAAUUCAUGUCAUGCCAUUCCUUUUCCUCACGUCCAUUACAUCAACUCUCGUUUUCUACUUCCCAGUCGGGCUGAAAGAUGAAUUACACCUCUACUUUGUGCUAUACAUUUUCACGCAGCUUUUAGCAAGUGAAGCAGUUGUGUUUGUGAUGGAAGUUUUUUAUCUUUUUCCUGUCUUCAUGUUUUUAUGCAGCAAUCUCUGCGUAUUAGUUGUAGGUGUCAUAGAGUGGGUAAAGAAUGUAGUCGUUUUUUCCCUUACUUGCAUCGUUGCAUUGUACUACGAAAUAAUCUUUUAUGCAGUUUGCAUUU